rnacentral:rRNA from 1 species
AGAGUUUGAUCCUGGCUCAGGACGAACGCUGGCGGCGUGCCUAAUACAUGCAAGUCGAGCGAACCAAUAAGAAGCUUGCUUUUUGUUGGUUAGCGGCGGACGGGUGAGUAACACGUGGGUAACCUGCCUGUAAGACCGGGAUAACUCCGGGAAACCGGUGCUAAUACCGGAUAGAUUAUCUUUCCGCCUGGAGAGAUAAGGAAAGAUGGCUUUUGCCAUCACUUACAGAUGGGCCCGCGGCGCAUUAGCUAGUUGGUGAGGUAAUGGCUCACCAAGGCGACGAUGCGUAGCCGACCUAAGAGGGUGAUCGGCCACACUGGGACUGAGACACGGCCCAGACUCCUACGGGAGGCAGCAGUAGGGAAUCUUCCGCAAUGGACGAAAGUCUGACGGAGCAACGCCGCGUGAGCGAAGAAGGUCUUCGGAUCGUAAAGCUCUGUUGUUAGGGAAGAACAAGUAUCGGAGGAAAUGCCGGUACCUUGACGGUACCUGACGAGAAAGCCACGGCUAACUACGUGCCAGCAGCCGCGGUAAUACGUAGGUGGCAAGCGUUGUCCGGAUUUAUUGGGCGUAAAAGCGCGCGCAGGCGGUCCUUUAAGUCUGAUGUGAAAUCUUGCGGCUCAACCGCAAGCGGUCAUUGGAAACUGGGGGACUUGAGUGCAGAAGAGGAAAGCGGAAUUCCACGUGUAGCGGUGAAAAUGCGUAGAGAUGUGGAGGAACACCAGUGGCGAAGGCGGCUUUCUGGUCUGUAACUGACGCUGAGGCGCGAAAGCGUGGGGAG